GACGAACGCUGGCGGCGUGCUUAACACAUGCAAGUCGAACGAUGAAGCUGGAGCUUGCUCCGGUGGAUUAGUGGCGAACGGGUGAGUAACACGUGAGCAAUCUGCCCUUGACUCUGGGAUAACUGCGGGAAACUGUAGCUAAUACCGGAUACGAGAUCUGAAGGCAUCUUCGGGUCUGGAAAGAAUUUCGGUCAAGGAUGAGCUCGCGGCCUAUCAGCUUGUUGGUGAGGUAAUGGCUCUCCAAGGCGACGACGGGUAGCCGGCCUAAGAGGGUGACCGGCCACACUGGGACUGAGACACGGCCCAGACUCCUACGGGAGGCAGCAGUGGGGAAUAUUGCACAAUGGGCGAAAGCCUGAUGCAGCAACGCCGCGUGAGGGAUGAAGGCCUUCGGGUUGUAAACCUCUUUUAGCAGGGAAGAAGCGAAAGUGACGGUACCUGCAGAAAAAGCACCGGCUAACUACGUGCCAGCAGCAGCCGCGG
rnacentral:rRNA from 1 species